rnacentral:rRNA from 1 species
UACGGGGGAGCAAGCGUUGUUCGGAUUUACUGGGCGUAAAGGGCGCGUAGGCGGCCACCGCAAGUCAAUUGUGAAAUCUCCGGGCUUAACUCGGAAAGGUCAACUGAUACUGCGGGGCUAGAGUGCGGAAGGGGCAACUGGAAUUCUCGGUGUAGCGGUGAAAUGCGUAGAUAUCGAGAGGAACACCUGCGGCGAAGGCGGGUUGCUGGGCCGACACUGACGCUGAGGCGCGAAAGCCAGGGGAGCGAACGGG